UAGCUUAGUGUUAGAGUACUUACCUAACAAGUAUGAAGCCCUGGGUUCAAUCCCUAG
rnacentral:tRNA from 1 species